rnacentral:rRNA from 1 species
AGUGAACGCUGGCGGCGUGCUUAACACAUGCAAGUCGAACGGACUUUAAGGGGCUUGCUUCUUAAAGUUAGUGGCGCACGGGUGAGUAAUGUAUAGCUAACCUGCCCUUUAGUGGGGGACAACAGUUGGAAACGGCUGCUAAUACCCCAUACUCCUUCUUAUCAUAAGGGAAGUUGGGAAAGAUUUAUUGCUAAAGGAUGGGGCUUUAUGGUAUCAGCUAGUUGGUGGGGUAAAGGCCUACCAAGGCUAUGACGCCUACCUGGUCUGAGAGGAUGAUCUGGCCCACUGGAACUGAGACACGGUCCAGACUCCUACGGGAGGCAGCAGUGGGGAAUAUUGCACAAUGGAGGAAACUCUGAUGCAGCAACGCCGCGUGGAGGAUGACGCAUUUCGGUGUGUAAACUCCUUUUAUAAGGGAAGAUAAUGACGGUACCUUAUGAAUAAGCACCGGCUAACUCCGUGCCAGCAGCCGCCGCCG